ACGACUUCUCUGGCUAGAAAAGUUCCGCGUGUGUUCCCAAAGAGCCUAUGCAAUAAAGACGAAAGCAUUUAUAAUCAACUUCCUCGACUCCUAAGCCUGUUAUUUUUACAACAUUAAGAACCACUUUUGAGCCUCCAACAAUUGAUGACGCCGACGUGAUUCGCCACUUCUACUUUUGGAUAAGACGCUGAUCCGGGCAUUUGGACCCCUGUUGUUUGAAAAAACUCAUAAGGAGGAGUAGAAAUAAAAACUGCUGACAUGAAUAAAGAUGAAAGGAAGCCAGUGAACUGACUUAAGUUAUUUGAAAAGAACAAGCAAGUGCUGGACCUGGUAGAAUUGUGGACUGUGAAUGUGCGUGUGCGGUUGAGAAUAUGUGGGCACACUGAUUUUCAGUCUGGUUAAGAAAAAACGGCCUAAUUACCCGUAUCAAAUUAACAGACAAGCCUAAACUGAAAACAUGGCUGAUCACGCACAAGAAAUGGUAAAGAACGAUAAAUGUAUGGAAUUGAGAAGAUAAAUAUGGAAAGGUUUAACAUUGAUGUUAACAAGGUCAUAAUCCUGAAGAGUUUUAAUGUUUGUAUAUAAAGGAUAGGAGUAAAGUUGUGA